rnacentral:rRNA from 1 species
GAUGAACGCUGGCGGCGUGCCUAAUACAUGCAAGUCGAGCGAGAAGCUUGGAAAUGACGCUUCGGUUGAUUUUCCAAGCGGACAGCGGCGGACGGGUGAGUAACGCGUAGGCAACCUGCCCCUGACAGAGGGAUAGCCAUUGGAAACGAUGAUUAAAACCUCAUGACACCGUAGUAGCACAUGCUACAUCGGUCAAAGAUUUAUCGGUCAGGGAUGGGCCUGCGUCUGAUUAACUGGUUGGUGAGGUAACGGCUCACCAAGGUGACGAUCAGUAGCCGACCUGAGAGGGUGAUCGGCCACAUUGGAACUGAGACACGGUCCAAACUUCUACGGAAGGCAGCAGUAGGGAAUCUUGCACAAUGGGCGAAAGCCUGAUGCAGCAACGCCGCGUGAAGGAUGAAGGCCUUCGGGUUGUAAACUUC